GACGAACCGGACAAACGUUAUUCGGAAUUACUGGGCUUAAAGGGUUUGUAGGCGGCCUUGUAAGUCAGGUGUGAAAUCCCUCGGCUCAACCGAGGAAUGGCGCUUGAUACUGCACGGCUUGAGGGAGACAGGGGUAAGCGGAACUGAUGGUGGAGCGGUGAAAUGCGUUGAUAUCAUCAGGAACACCGGUGGCGAAAGCGGCUUACUGGGGCUCAUCUGACGCUGAGGAACGAAAGCUAGGGGAGCGAACGGG
rnacentral:rRNA from 1 species